rnacentral:misc_RNA from 1 species
GAUGAAGAACGUAGCGAAAUGCGAUACGUAAUGUGAAUUGCAAAUUCAGUGAAUCAUCGAGUCUUUGAACGCACAUUGCGCCCCCUGGUAUUCCGGGGGGCAUGCCUGUCCGAGCGUCAUUGCUGCCCUCAAGCACGGCUUGUGUGUUGGGCCCCGUCCUCCGAUCCCGGGGGACGGGCCCGAAAGGCAGCGGCGGCACCGCGUCCGGUCCUCGAGCGUAUGGGGCUUUGUCACCCGCUCUGUAGGCCCGGCCGGCGCUUGCCGAUCAACCCAAAUUUUUAUCCAGGUUGACCUCGGAUCAGGUAGGGAUACCCGCUGAACUUAAGCAUAUCAUAAGCGGAGGA